UACUGCUGCUGGCUAGGGGCAGGGUAAGCUCUCGUGCUCUCAUGCCCCCAGGGCCAGCUCUCCCACAAUGUCCAGGUGAAGGGUGGACCUAGUUGUGCACAAUGCUCAGACAUCAGGAUGUCCCUGGCAAGCAGCCUAGAUCGGAGUCUUUUGCCUGGCCUUUGGUGGUAACAGACCUCUGUUGAUGGAGGGCCACUGAGCCUUACAUAGCAGCUGGUGGCACCACGGGCCAGGAACCCACCAUGGUCCCAGGGAGCAUCACUGGCUACUCACAUCAGACUGUUCCUCACUACCCUUGAGUCUCCAGUCUACCUGUCUUCAUUGUGCCCAUAAUCUUCUCUUUCUCUUCCUGUUUCAUUUCUCCACCACUUACUUGCUUCUUUUAGUGGCACCUGAGGACUCUUAGUGUCUGCGGUCACCUCAGGACUGUUGUCAGGACUGCUAUGCCCUGCGCAGGCAUCAUGGAGCUGGCCAGGGAUCCUCUUGGGCAUAGUCUGCUCCCCAAGGCUUGCAGGUCUUGCAGAUCACUGGACUGGUGAUCAUCUCAGCCUUCUCCUUGUCUGGGCUCCAUGGUGUCCACCUGGUGAUCCUCUAGGCUGUGCUCCUCACCUGCCCAGAUAGUGGCCCCUUGGGUGGAUCAUUGGUCUCAGGCUCACUACUACCCAGAGCCUGCAGUCCAAAGAGUUGGGGGUGUUUCUUCUAGUCUCUGGCUUGCUCCCCAUCCUGAGAGCCCAUCUGGGCCUGACUGGCAGCAGACUGGGGAUUUCUCAACAGAUAGAAGCCCAUGGUGGAGAGGACUUCCUCAUAGCUGGAGGAGGGUCCAGGUGCUUGUCAGGACCUCCUGAAGAUUGUGAGGGCCACUCCUUUGAGGGUAGUGUGCAGUCUGUGCUUUUGAGUCAUGUCAGAAUUGUCAAAAUUGAGAUAACUGGAGGAAUAGAGCUGCCCUGGUUCUGGGUAGGCAAGUUCUUUUUCACUGUGACAAUUGGUUGUUUAGUCUGAAGAGUCUUGAUCUUUGCUGGCCUGUCUGUAGCUCAGUUGACAGUUCCCAAAGGUCUUCUGCCAGCUUUAGGUAAAGCUAGUCAAAAUUGAACAUUUUGUCUGCUUGGGAUACUGGAAGCUCCUGCAAUUUCCCUAAGGCCUUGACUUGGGAUCCCAAUUUUGCCCCAUCUUUAGGAGCCUGGCUCUCUGUUAGCCUUAUCCACAAAGAUAGAAUAUCCAUCCUGGAUUACUCCACAUUGUCCUCAAAGCCAAGACUUCACCUAAUAAUAUUUUUUCUAAUUAAAUCAGAAAUAAGAUCAUCUAAAGAGGUUGUUGAAGUGUGGGGUGAUGUUGGAAGAACAGAAACUGAUGAGAAAGUGCACAAUAUCCAGGCAGCAUUAUUGUAGUUAGACUUUGUUCUUGUAGAUAUGUAGCUUUUCAUGUAGAAGCUUCAGUGUGGGAGCUCUGAUCAUGUGAUGGGACUGAUGCAGCUCAGUAAGCCUGGAAGGCAAAGUAUAAAGUCCCAUGUAGACAGUUCUGUCCAGGAAGUAUGGUCACUGCUCAUGUUUCUAGCCAUGCUUCAUUCCUGCGGUGGCAUCUGGUCUGUCUCCGGGAACAGCUAACAGGGUUAAAGGGGACUUUGACACUUGACACCUACCUAUCGGAACAAAACUAGGAGUCUCAUUCAUUCUUCUCAAUGAGAUGAGAUCUAGUCAACACGUCCUGGAACAUACAACACCCCGUCUUUCCUGCAAGCACAUUCUCCGCUCCAACCAUCCCAGCACGGAGUUUCCUGUGUGCUUGAGAACUGGGACUUUUUCCCAGCAUUCAGAUGUGCAACCUGCCCCGGGAGCGCAGUCCUUUGCCCAGUGCCUACCAUCUAAUUUACUUGGACCUGAGAGUCAUGAGGGGUGAUUUUCCUCCAGCCCCUCCUGGAACCCCACAACGCGGCGCGACAUCCCAGAGCUGUGCGGGUGGGCUGGCAGAAACACUCCUACAUUUCUCCAAGUUCCCUAACUCUUGCCGAUCUCGUCAGACCUGCUCUCCUCCCUAAGUCACCGAAACGCCGCCAGUGGGGUCGCUCGACUCUCUCUGGCACGCGUGGCCCAGGAGCCAGCCUGGAGAAGGGCAAGCGGCCGUGCUCAUAUCUGUGCUCUCCGAGGCUGCCUCCACGUGUCCUUCCCUAACCCCUCACGCCCCGCAGCGACCCUCUCCGGCUGGACCCCUGGCGUGGCCCCGGGAAGGUGUGACCCCCACGGGUCAAGUUCAGCUGGGCGUUGGGGUCCCCCUCUGCGCCCUUGCUUGGGCGCAUGACGUUUCCUACCCGAUGACACCCGCAGCGGGAGCAGCAGCAGUAGCAGCAGCAGCAGCAACACCAGGAGGGCGUGGACUCCACAGCCCCGGAGCCGCGGAGAGGCCAUGGCUGAUCGUCCCUCGCGGUGACCCACCGGGAUGCAAGGCUGGGGUCCCUUGGAGGUGCCUAGCUCAGCUCCAAGACCAGCCGGCAGCCAGGAGCAUUCGCUUUCGCUUUUGCUUUAGCCCCCGGGGUUGCAGAGAGGUGCUAAGUGGUGACAGAUCUGUGACUCAGCAUCCCCACCCCUGCUCUGGAAGAAGCCCCGGAGGGCCCCAGUGACACCCCCUCCCCAGUGAGACUGCUUUUGUCCUCAGAAGCUCGGGGGCCUCACCUGUAUAAGCCGCGAUCUCCCUUUUGCUCCUUGAUGCUGUCUUCACUGCAGAGGCAAAUUCCUUUGGGUCCACUCUGCUGCUUUUGCUUCCACACCUGACUCCAACCUCGUCCAUUUGUCUCCUACCCUGGCUGCUGGCCUUCAGUAGUUCCGAUUGCAAUUCAGAGUUUCCCUCCCUGUAUCCCUCGAUUGAGGAGGUGUCUGUCGCCCCGGUGCAGCCAGCGGCAGUUCUGAGCGGAUGGUAGAUUCUACACCCAGAUCAGUUUCCUGGUGCACUCCAGCCUCAAGAAAAGAGCACAUCUGUUCCUAGCUGCCUGCCUGCAGUGGUAAUGGCAAUGACUAACUCCUCUCCAGGCCCAGGACACUUUGCUGUGUUCCGGCUGUACCUUUCUAACUCAAGAAAAUGCCAAGUAGAGGGAGAGGGAAAGAGAGAAGGGAUAGGAAAAGAGGGAGGAGGAAAGGCCGGGGAAGAUGGGGGGGGAGAAAAGGCAUUGAGUUAAAAAAAAAAAGGAAAGGAGAAAGGUGGGAGGAGAGGGGGAAGGGAGAGAAGGAAGGCAAGUUAUUCAUCUCUAUACCUCACAUUUGAUUUCUUUAGACAAUAGUCUUCAGCAUCUAAGAAAACAUCCUCUUUUAAGUAUGUGGUUUUGUUUGUUUGUUCGUUUGUUUGUUUUAUUUUUAACUUUCUUGAGAUUUUAAGUCAAUCCCCAUGCUGUGGAGGAUGGGAUCUGGCCCUGGGAAAACACUGAGCGCUCAGUGAGAAAUGCUCCUGUCUAUAUAGAUGUGGUUUUAGGAAGACAGACAAACCUUAGUUUCAGUUUAUAGCUUUCUAAAUAAAAUCUAGCACCAUCAUGGAGCCAGGGAGAGAAUUCAUGCUGAUACUGUUUGGAAAAAAAUGUAGAGAAACAUGUGACUGAAGUUUCCCAUCCCCCUAGGCACACUAGGAAAAGGUGACCUUUCUAUAUUUGUCCCCCUCUUCCCUACAAAGUCUUAAAAUUGGCACAAUAAAUAUGAAAAAUGCACAAUAAGAGUUCAGAGAGAGGAUCAGAAACCACAUAUCCCCGUCUCUUACAAUUAAUGAAAGAGCUGGAGAGAUGGCUCAGUGGUUAAGAGUACUGGACACUCUUCCAAGGAGCGGGGUUCGGUUCCCAGCACCCACAAGGGGCUCAUCACUAACUAUAACUCCAGUUUCAGGGCAUCCAGCUCCCUUGUCUGGCCUCCCCAGGCAUUGUAUGUGCAUGGUGUGCAAACAUACAUAUAGUCAAAACAUUCAUACACAUAAAAUAAAAUGUAAAAAAUAAUUAAAAUUAAUGCCAACAUUUUGUGUCCUUCAAAACUAUAAACACUUCUUUUAUGAUGGACAUUUUCAAAUUCAAAAACAGAAGGAGCCCUGCAUGGUGUUCCAGCACAUGGGAGGUGAAGGCAAAAGGACCAGAAGCCAGUCUAACUACACAGCAUCUUCAUUGCCAGCUUGUCACAGGAUACUGUGAGUGAUGUGUGAGGGACAGUAACAAAGCUUUCUAGUGUCACCCUCAGCAACCUGAUAAAAGUCUAGAACCAAACUGGGACUCAUGGCUUUCAAUGCAGAAAAAAGUGCCAGGACUGGGCAAUAGUGCAGAUUUGGGAUUUACUGAAGAUACUUUUAAUUCAGGUUUCAGAAGAGAGUUCAAAGAAGGAGGAUCUCAGAAAGCUAAAGCACAUCCUAGAACUCAGGUGUGGGGCUCUCUAAAAGGGGGUUAUAUUUCACCACGUUUACAAUAAUUUUGUUGGGUGUAGAAGCUAUUUUCUUCCAAGAAAGGCUGAGGACCCUAUUGAUAAGUAAAGGUUUAGAUCAUAGGAGAGCAAGACAACCUUUAUUACACACAGUUAACCGUCUUUCUGAGAUUCUCCCACAAUAUCCAGGGAGAGGAGUGAGGCCCCACCCCAGGUCACAGACACGCCAACCUCAAGCCAGGUUCAUAUGUAACAUAUAUCUAUAUGUGAAAGGAAUGAUGUUUCUACAUUAGCAGCAUUUACAGAAAACAUCAGCAGCAUUGGCAUUCUUGUUUCCUAGAUGGGAAACACUUUAACUAGAUUCCUGAGUGAAGACUCCUUCUCCUUCUUGUGUUCCCCUAAUUUUUCCUGUCUUUCUAGCCUGCCUCAAGCUGACUCUGUCUAAAAAAAAAAAAAAAAUCUAAAACCAAAACCGAAACAGAAAAAGCUGGGAAUAAAGCUCAGUUGGCAGAACGUUUGCCUAGCAUGCAUGGGUCCCUGAAUCCUUAACCUCCAACUGCGUAAGCCUGGCAUGCCGGCACAUGCCCAUAAUCUUAAUACUGGUGAGCUAGAGGUGGGAGAUGGGAGGUAAAGUCAGCAUCAGCCUCACAGAGUUGGAGGCCAGCCAGGGCUGCAUGAGACCCUCCCUGUCUCAAAAAUAAAAACAAGGCAAAACAAAACAAGACAGUUAAACCCACCUACUCAUCCCCCAUCCAGAUGGUGGCCACAGGAAGUCCACUAUUUUAUCCAAGCAGGAACAGAAUAAUGCCUCCAACUGAGGCCAACCUGGAUGCCAUUCCAUUUCCUUCCUGAAUACUUAAGCAUGUAUGUAGGGGUAAUAAAGCAAAAUGAAAAACUGA